AUGGCCAUGCUGUCCCCAGCUCAUCUCCUCAUUCUUCUUUUCCUCUGUUUCUCUGAUUCUAGGGCAGAAACAACUGUGACCCAGUCUCCAGCAUCUCUGUCCAUGGUUGCAGGAGAAAAAGUCACCAUCAGUUGUAAAACCAGCACAAAUAUUGAUGAUGAUAUGAAUUGGUACCAGCAGAAGCCAGGGGAAGCUCCUAAGCUUCUUAUUUCAGAAGAGAAUACUCUUCGUCCUGGAGUCCCUUCCUGGUUCUCUAGCAGUGGUUAUGGCACAGAUUUUGUGUUUACAAUUGAUAAGAUGCUCUCAGAAGAUGCUGCAAUUUACUUCUGUCAGCAAAGUGAUAACUUGCCUCUCACAGUCCUCUUACAAAAACCUGCAGAGGCUGUUGGUGAGAUUACUUCAGGAGCUACUGAAGCUGUUCAGUGUGUGAACAUGGCCAUCAUUGGUGUUAACUCUAUCCAUGCGUAUGCACUCUCACUUCCCUUUUUAGUUUCUGAAGCCUCCUCAGCCCCCUAUACUUUUCUGAAUUCCUUCACUUAG